rnacentral:rRNA from 1 species
ACGCUGGCGGCAGGCCUAACACAUGCAAGUCGAGCGGUAGAGAGAAGCUUGCUUCUCUUGAGAGCGGCGGACGGGUGAGUAAUGCCUAGGAAUCUGCCUGGUAGUGGGGGAUAACGCUCGGAAACGGACGCUAAUACCGCAUACGUCCUACGGGAGAAAGCAGGGGACCUUCGGGCCUUGCGCUAUCAGAUGAGCCUAGGUCGGAUUAGCUAGUUGGUGAGGUAAUGGCUCACCAAGGCUACGAUCCGUAACUGGUCUGAGAGGAUGAUCAGUCACACUGGAACUGAGACACGGUCCAGACUCCUACGGGAGGCAGCAGUGGGGGAUAUUGGACAAUGGGCGAAAGCCUGAUCCAGCCACGCCGCGUGUGUGAAGAAGGUCUUCGGAUUGUAAAGCACUUUAAGUUGGGAGGAAGGGCAGUAAAUUAAUACUUUGCUGUUUUGACGUUACCGACAGAAUAAGCACCGGCUAACUCUGUGCCAGCAGCCGCGGUAAUACAGAGGGUGCAAGCGUUAAUCGGAAUUACUGGGCGUAAAGCGCGCGUAGGUGGUUCGUUAAGUUGGAUGUGAAAUCCCCGGGCUCAACCUGGGAACUGCAUUCAAAACUGUCGAGCUAGAGUAUGGUAGAGGGUGGUGGAAUUUCCUGUGUAGCGGUGAAAUGCGUAGAUAUAGGAAGGAACACCAGUGGCGAAGGCGACCACCUGGACUGAUACUGACACUGAGGUGCGAAAGCGUGGGGAGCAAAC